CCCCCCAAACCUUCGCUCUUUUCUCCUUCUCGGACAUUUCUCGUGCAUUUCGCCGAAGUUUCAGCAAAUCGAGCCUUGCUCCGAGCCCUCGCAGGGCGCGAUAACGCCGCAACCCCCCGAAAAGUUGGAGAAAAAAAAAAAGAGAGAGGAGGAGGAGGAAGAGGAGGAGGAGAAAUAGGGAAAGAGAAAAUAAAGAGCAUCACCUAAAGAAGAGCGAGAAGUUGCUGCAGGAUCUGGACACCGGAGCGAAAGCGCGGCCAAGCCUGGCUGAAGUCAUCCUUGAUAAUAACGGGACCACCACGCGAUUUGGGGUCCGGAUCCCCUCCCCAGCACCCAGAAAGGCGAAUGCGGUCCCCAGCUCCACUCCCAUCCCGGGGACAGCGGCUGGGAACUUCCAGGUCCCGGCUUCGGGCGGGUGGCAGGGGCAUCCCCCAAAUCCGCGUUGUCCUCGCGGUGAAAAUACAGCUCCUAUGUGUUACCCAAACGGCUCCUAAAUGGGACGGUGUGGUGGUGCUCCCCAACUAACGUUAGGCGCAUAACAAUAAUAACAAUAAUAAUGUGAAAUAUUCACAGAAUGAAGAGACCAGGAAAAAACGAACCUUUCCUCCCCCAUCCAUAGCCUUGCCCCUUGUGCAAGUGUUGGAUGAGGCCGCGAUCUGUAAAUCUCAGAGCCCUGCGCUGCAGCACCGAAAUUGGUUUGGGGGCUGGGGGCUGCAGGUCGCUGUCCCCAAGGGUUUUUUUCCCCACGGAUAUGAGGAAUGGGGCUGAGAGUUUGGAUGCAAAGGGCUGUUCGGGGUGACACUCGGCUGGGUGAAGACCGUUUCAUGCACACACAUGCGCGCUCCCCUAAAUAUGUAAUAAAUAUAUAUAAUGUACAUCGCCA